rnacentral:rRNA from 1 species
CAGUCGCCGCGGUAAUACGAGGGGGGCAAGCGUUGUUCGGAAUUAUUGGGCGUAAAGGGUGCGUAGGCGGCUUGACAAGUCUUGUGUGAAAUCUAUGGGCUCAACCCAUAGUCUGCACGGGAAACUGUCGGGCUUGAGAAUGGGAGAGGUGAGUGGAAUUUCCGGUGUAGCGGUGAAAUGCGUAGAUAUCGGAAGGAACACCUGUGGCGAAAGCGGCUCACUGGACCAUUUCUGACGCUGAUGCACGAAAGCUAGGGGAGCAAACAGGAUUAGAUACCCCCGUAGUCCCUGUCUCUUAUAC